UACGUAGGGUGCAAGCGUUGUCCGGAAUUAUUGGGCGUAAAGAGCUCGUAGGCGGUCUGUCGCGUCGGCUGUGAAAACUCGGGGCUCAACUUCGAGCCUGCAGUCGAUACGGGCAGACUAGAGUGCGGUAGGGGAGACUGGAAUUCCUGGUGUAGCGGUGAAAUGCUCAGAUAUCAGGAGGAACACCGGUGGCGAAGGCGGGUCUCUGGGCCGUAACUGACGCUGAGGAGCGAAAGCGUGGGGAGCAAACAGG
rnacentral:rRNA from 1 species